UAGUGGAUGAUGAAAAUAGAUAUCCUUCCAAUUCAAAUUAAUAUCUUAAUGUGAAGGACUGAUUAAACUUAACAGCAGAAAUGAAUUUUUCAGGAACACAGAUGGAGGAGUACGAGGAUUGCAAACACGUUGACGACCCAACAUACGAUACUGUGUAUUCAAACAGCAAAAUAUCCAAAGAGACUUUUUCCUCACGUAAACUAUGGAUUAAAAUUUUUAUUCUGGUCAUGACAACAUCAUUGGUGUUUUCAGUGUUAGGCGUGACGGUUACAUACCUUGUGAUGUGCGGAGAAUUGUGCGGUAAACCAACCCAAUCAAACAGCUCUACAACAGUGGAUCAACAGAUAUCAAUCAUAUCAAAAUAACUUGAUAAAACUCAAAUGAAGACAGAGAACUUAACACAACAGACAAAACUAGUGGCCUUUACAGCAUGCGUUAUUGUGGAUACAACUGUGCAAAAAGGACAAACCAUCAAGUUCAAAGACAUCAAAACCUCAUUGGGAGUUGGAAAUUUAUCAGAAACCAUUUCCUCAGGUAUAUUUACAACCAAGGAUACAGGGCUUUAUCAAGUCAUUGUUAUCGUAAAAACGCAUACCGAUGCAGCAGCCUUUACAGUCAACAGAAAUAACGCUAUUAUCGUAUCUGGUUACGUUGCUCAGCAUACCGAUAGAGGUGAGGGUACAAACUUCGACCACAUGGGUACGGCUGUUGUUAUGGUAUUCUUGUUUAGAGGUGAUACAAUUUCAGUUACACCUGAUAUCAAGAUAUAUCUGCACAAGGAAACCUGCUUGUCAAUGGUCAAGAUAUAAACUAUUUUUUGUCGGAUCGGUUGCCGUACAUUAAUUUUGUAGGAUAUUAUUUUUGACCAUGUAUUCAAUAUACAACAUAUAUGACCACGAAUGGGAAAAUCUUAACUGUAAAUACUAUUAUAUAAGAUUUAUCUGUUUGUUUGUCUUAUUUUGAAUAUAAGAAAAUGAUAUCAACGGAUCUUUUUCAAUUAAAGUUGCUGGAAUACAUUUCAUGAUAA